UGCCGGCGGUCGCCGGUUGGCUGGCCGGCCGUUCCCCGCGGCCCGGUCGGCGACGGAUCGUUCCCGUCGCCAGCAC
rnacentral:tRNA from 1 species